GCGAUGAACCAGGCCGCCGCGAUGCGAUGGACAUGUCCAUGUGCAUUGAGGAAAGUCCGGGCUCCAUAGGGCGUGACGCCGGGUAACUCCCGGGCGGGUAAAACCCGACAGCAAGCGCAACAGAAAGUAAACCGCCUGCCGAUUUAUUGGCAGGUAAGGGUGAAACGGCGUGGUAAGAGCACACCGCGGGUUUGGCGACAAACUCGGCGCGGCAAGCCUCGUCAGGAGCAAAGUUAAACAGCGGCGCAUAUGCGAGGCGUAUUUAAUGCUUCGCCCGAACUGCCCGUUCAGCCGCGGGUAAACUGCGAAGACGUUGUCUGUGAAGAUGACGGUAAGAUAGAUGGCGGCCUAACGUUCAUAAGAACGUUACAGAACCCGGCUUAUGGUUCAUCGCUUCU
rnacentral:RNase_P_RNA from 1 species